AGCGAACGCUGGCGGUAGGCUUAACACAUGCAAGUCGAACGGCAGCACAGUAAGAGCUUGCUCUUACGGGUGGCGAGUGGCGGACGGGUGAGGAAUACAUCGGAAUCUACUUUUUUGUGGGGGAUAACGUAGGGAAACUUACGCUAAUACCGCUUACGACCUACGGGUGAAAGCAGGGGAUUUUUGUACCUUGCGCAUUGGAUCGAGCCCAUGUCGGUUUAUCUAGUGGGCGGGGAAAAGGCCAACCAAGGCGUAGAUCCGUACCUAGUCUGAGAGGGGGAGCAGCCCCACGGGAGCUAAGGGCCAGUCCGGGCUCCUGAGAGAGGCAGCAGUGGGGAGUAUUGGAGAAUGGGCGCAAGCCUGAUCCAGCCAUGCCGCGUGAUUGAAGAAGGCCGUCGGGUUGAAGAGGCCUUUUGUUGGGAAAGAAAAGCAGCAGGUUAAUAACCCGCUGUUCUGACGGUACCCAAAGAAUAAGCACCGGCUAACUUCGUG
rnacentral:rRNA from 1 species